GGUGCUGUAGCCAAGUGGUAAGGUCUGAAGCUGCAACCUUCAUAUUCGCUAGUUCGAAUCUAGUCAGCACCUCCA
rnacentral:tRNA from 1 species